rnacentral:lncRNA from 1 species
GGUGAGAGCAUAUGACAGGCUGUCCUGCUCUGAGUUGUUUUGUUCAUAAAAAAUUAACUGAAUUUUGAAGCCAAGGCUCUGCAAGUAUCUGAUGUCAGGUAUUUUCUGUUGAAACUAAACAUUAAAUUUUAACUUCAACUUUCCAACAAUUGUCAAGGCUAUGGGAAUUGCAAUUUGUGUUUUUGAUAUCGACCACUCCAAAAAUGAAUUUGUUCGCCAAAAAUGUAAGCGUGCGUUUCAAGAUGUCGACCAGGAAAAGAAUAUUAAAAAAGGAAUGUCCGGUGCAGUUAUAGAGAACUACUAGGACAAUUGCAAAGUUACUGUAACAGCAUGGUUAAGAAGAUUGCUGACCUGCAAAACUUAAAGUGCCAGUACAUAAUAAUUAUUACUGUAGUAUUUAGCAGUGUUUGUCAACCUCUUUGAAGCCUCAUUUGGUUCUGGCAUUUUCCAAUUGGUGUCCA